rnacentral:tRNA from 1 species
GUCCCCCCUCGUCUAGAGGCCCGGACACCGCCCUUUCACGGCGGUAACAGGGGUUCGAAUCCCCUAGGGGACGCCA